rnacentral:rRNA from 1 species
GUCCACGCCGUAAACGAUGGGCACUAGGCGUCGGGGGAGCGACCCUCCCGGUGCCGUCGCUAACGCAGUAAGUGCCCCGCCUGGGGAGUACGGCCGCAAGGCUGAAACUCAAAGGAAUUGACGGGGCCCGCACAAGCGGUGGAGCAUGUGGUUUAAUUCGAAGCAACGCGAAGAACCUUACCUGGGCUUGACAUGCAUGGGAAGGCCGGUGGAAACAUCGGUUCCUCUUCGGAGUCCAUGCACAGGUGCUGCAUGGCUGUCGU